rnacentral:rRNA from 1 species
UACGAAGGGGGCUAGCGUUGCUCGGAAUCACUGGGCGUAAAGCGCACGUAGGCGGAUUGCUAAGUCAGGGGUGAAAUCCUGGAGCUCAACUCCAGAACUGCCUUUGAUACUGGAGAGCUUGAGUCCGGAAGAGGUGAGUGGAACUCCGAGUGUAGAGGUGAAAUUCGUAGAUAUUCGGAAGAACACCAGUGGCGAAGGCGGCUCACUGGUCCGGUACUGACGCUGAUGUGCGAAAGCGUGGGGAGCAAACAGG